rnacentral:tRNA from 1 species
GGAGAGGUGGCCGAGCGGCUUAAGGCGCACGCUUGGAAAGCGUGUGUAGGGAGACCUACCGUGGGUUCGAAUCCCACCCUCUCCGCCA